rfam:Gossypium hirsutum cultivar TM-1 chromosome 5, whole genome shotgun sequence
UGUUAAAUUUUUUAUCCAUUUUUACGGUUAAAAAUUGGUGUGAUUAACAAAAUAAUGCAGAUAGUUAUACGUGGUGUGCCAUGUGUACCUCAUGCCGACGUAUAAGGACCAAAUUUUAACAAUUGAGAUAGAUAGUUACUCUUUAAUC